rnacentral:misc_RNA from 1 species
UCCGGUUUGUCACCGGCAGUCUCGCAUGAGUCCCCAACUAAAUGCUGGCAACAUGCGACGGGGGUUGCGCUCGUUGCGGGACUUAACCCAACAUCUCACGACACGAGCUGACGACAGCCAUGCAGCAUCUGUGGUGCACCCUCGAAGGUCACACGUUUCCGUGCGCUUGCAGCACCAUGUCAAGCCCAGGUAAGGUUCUUCGCGUUGCAUCGAAUUAAAGAACAUGCUCCGCUGCUUGUGCGGGCCCCCGUCAAUUCUUUUGAGUUUUAGCCUUGCGGCCGUACUCCCCAGGCGGAACACUUAUCGCGUUGGCUGCGGCACAGAGGGAUUCGACUCCCCCCACACCUAGUGUUCAUCGUUUACGGCUAGGACUAC